rnacentral:rRNA from 1 species
GACGAACGCUGGCGGCGUGCUUAACACAUGCAAGUCGAACGGAAAGGCCUGCUUUCCCUUGUGGAUUGCGGGUACUCGAGUGGCGAACGGGUGAGUAACACGUGAGUGAUCUGCCCCCAACUUGGGUAUAAGCCUGGGAAACUGGGUCUAAUUCCCGAUAGGACUGCAGGGUGGUGCCUGUGGUGGAAAACGAUUUUCUAGUGGUUGGGGAUGAGCUCGCGGCCUAUCAGCUUGUUGGUGGGGUAAUGGCCUACCAAGGCGGCGACGGGUAGCCGGCCUGAGAGGGUGGACGGCCACAUUGGGUCUGAGAUACGGCCCAGACUCCUACGGGAGGCAGCAGUGGGGAAUAUUGCACAAUGGGCGGAAGCCUGAUGCAGCGACGCCGCGUGGGGGAUGACGGCCUUCGGGUUGUAAACUCCUUUCGACCGCGAGGAAGCCACCUGGUUGGAAGGGUGGUGACGGUAGUGGUAGAAGAAGCACCGGCUAACUACGUG